rnacentral:rRNA from 1 species
AUUGAACGCUGGCGGCAGGCCUAACACAUGCAAGUCGAACGAUUGGCGGACGGGUGAGUAAUGUCUGGGAAACUGCCUGAUGGAGGGGGAUAACUACUGGAAACGGUAGCUAAUACCGCAUACCAUCGGAUGUGCCCAGAUGGGAUUAGCUAGUAGGUGGGGUACAGGGUCACCUAGGCGACGAUCCCUAGCUGGUCUGAGAGGAUGACCAGCCACACUGUAACUGAGACACGGGCUAUACUCCGACGGGAGGCAGCAGUGGGGAAUAUUGCACAAGGGGUGCAAGCCUGAUGCAGCAAUGCCGCGUGUAUGAAGAAGGCCUUCGGGUUGUAAAGUACUUUCAGCGGGGAGGCGUUACCCGAAGAAGAAGCACCGGCUAACUCCGUGCCAGCAGCCGCGGUAAUAC